UACGGAGGGGGCUAGCGUUGUUCGGAAUUACUGGGCGUAAAGCGCACGUAGGCGGCUUUGUAAGUUAGAGGUGAAAGCCCGGGGCUCAACUCCGGAAUUGCCUUUAAGACUGCAUCGCUAGAAUUGUGGAGAGGUAAGUGGAAUUCCGAGUGUAGAGGUGAAAUUCGUAGAUAUUCGGAAGAAACACCAGUGGCGAAGGCGACUUACUGGACACAUAUUGACGCUGAGGUGCGAAAGCGGUGGGGAGCAAACAGG
rnacentral:rRNA from 1 species